rnacentral:rRNA from 1 species
CAAUAGCGUAUCUUAAUGUUGUUGCAGUUAAAAGCUCGUAGUCGAAUAUCUGGCCGGGAAAACCGAACUUCGUUUGGAGCUUUCCUAGGCCAUCCGCCUGAAAAAUUAGUGAUCGUUAAUAGCCUUUGCUUAUGGAUCAGGCACUUUACUUUGAAGAAAUUAGAGUGUUUCAGGCAGGCUAUCGCUUGAAUACACCAGCAUGGAAUAAUGGAAUAGGACUUUCAUCAGUUACUGGUUAAUGAUGUUUGUAAUGAUUAAUAGGGACAGUUGGGGGCGAUUCGUACUUGACAGUCAGAGGUGAAAUUCUUCGAUUUGUCAAAGACGAACUAAUGCGAAGGCACUCUCGACCGAAGGAUUGUUUUCUAUUGAUACAAAGAAACGAAAGACGAGGGGAUACAAAGACGUAUUAGA